UUGGUAGAAGUGCAUUCUUGUUAGAUCAUAUUGUGAGGCCUGCACAAAACUUAUAGAGAAAGAUUGUUAGUACAAAGAUAAAAAUAAGAAGAAAAAUAAAAAUUAGGGAUUGAAAAAUAAAAAUCAAAAAUAAAAAUGGAAAAAUAAAAAUAAGAAAACAAAAUAAAAAUAAAAUAAAGUCAAAAUUAAUCAAGGAUCACACAAAUAGAAUAGCUUAAACCGUGA
rnacentral:lncRNA from 1 species